rnacentral:lncRNA from 1 species
UAUCAGGAAAGCUGGAGUGAGUUGGGGCAGGGUCUUUACAAACAUUUUUGUCCUUGGCAGAUGGGAUGGCGACUUUAAGACCCAGUGCCACCCAGGUGGAGGUUGUAUCCUGUGGAAGGUAUCCCUCAUCCCCUCUUUCGAGACAAGCUGCCCCUGUCGUUUGGUGUAGUGGGACUGAACAUUCUGCUCCUAGCCCGAGGUUAGGGUGGCUAAGAUGCAGCCCUCUGCCUUUUUCUCCCUCCAGGGGUCACUGGAAACGGUCGACACUUCUCUGUUCUCCUCUCCUGGAUCUGUAAAUUCCAUUGCCAGCAGUCUGGUGUCCCAGGUCUGGCGCUUCUUUGGCUGUGGACAUGAAGAGGUUACUCCAGCCCUGGAGCCUGCUGGGCUGAGUUAGCAAUUCCCCUCCACAUCCAGGAGCUCUCCAAGUAGCAGCUCCCUUUGCACCACGCAAAGGGGAUAGCAGAGCAGGCUAGGGACACCGCUGCAGUAGGUCGCAGCAGGGGUUCUGUCAGCAUGUGUCAUCCCGUGGAUCCCCACUGUCAGGCCAGGCGGCCGGGAACUGGAAGGCAAAGGCAUCCGGAGGAGUGAAGGAUGCCCCCUUAGCUGCAGAGCGCCUGCUGGAACUGCUGCUGCUGCUGCUGCUGCUGUUGCUGCACACGCCUUUCGCUGUCUCCCCAGGCUGCAGCGGCCCCUGGGACCCAGAAGCGGGACUGGAGCCGCAGAGAUCCAGGCAGGACCCAGGAGUCUCGGACUGCCGCCUGUGAGGCAGCUCCCCAGGGAGCCUGGGCAGUGCUCUGCUGGCUGCCCGGUGCAGGGCUGGAGCCCUCUCUAGCCAGUGUGGCUGAGAAGCAAUCAUCUCUUCCCCAGCCACAGGAGCGGCCCAUCCACAUCCAGGCUUCUUUCUUGAGCAGAGGAAGUAACUCCUGUUGGGGCAGCUUUGACUGAGCUCUACAGCUAAGGCUUGUACACCAGCCCCCUCGUUUGCAGAGCCUUCGGGGUCAUUUCUCAGCUGCCGAAUUUGAGAGAAAAAAACAAAAACAAAACAAAACUGUGAGAACAGAGCAGAGUGUGGAGCCUUGUAAACUUUGGAGGCGGGGACAUUUUCUUGAAGGGGACAAGUGGCCCCAAAUCUACACUGUUCUCGGGCUAGUGGCAAAGCCUAUUGGUGGAACACCAGCCACAAGGCCAACAGCAAGGACUUACGACCGUCAUGGAGUCCGUGUUGGCAGCAUCCAGUUCUCCCACAGGCCGGGUUACCUUCUCCCGUGUCUUCGGCCAACAGUGCCAGCUGAUGGAAGCAGCGGUGCAGUCAUUGCACACCCUAAAUGACCAGAUUUCCCAUUUCAUUGUUACCAAGUCGAAGGCACUGGAGGAAGACGAUGACCCCUUUCUACCCACGGAGAAAGAGACACUGAAGAACUCGAUGAUAUUGAUGAGACAUCUCUUAAUGGAUGCCCAGGUUGAGGCUGCAGCUGUUCACCAGGCCUCAGACAUCUGAGUGCAUCCCACAAGCUUGUAGUUGUGCAUCCUACCUGCCACCGCUUUGGCUACAGAAGGGAUGUGUAUAGGUCUGUGAAUGCCCAUGGUCUAUUGAUGUCUGUGAUUUGUGGAUUCUGUGGUGCAUGGAUGUCUGUAGUCUGUGGAUGCUCAUGGUCUGUGAAUGUCUGUAGUCUGUAGAUGCCCAUGGUCCAUGGAUGUCUGUGUCCUGUGGAUGCCUGUGGUCUGUGGAUGCCUGUGGUCCAUGGAUGCCCAUGGUCCCUGAAUAUCUGGAAUCUGUGGAUGCAAAUGAUAAUAUGUAAUGAGGCAGCAGAAUAUUUUCCACUUUGGGAAGAGAGGGGGUGUUGAACAUUAGUAGAGAAAAGAAUAUUAAACCCUUGAACUUCCUUUGGCCCCAGAUGACUGAAGAAAUAUCAAAAGAGCCCCAGAGUAGAUUAGAGUAAGGAUUCCCCAAGUCAAGCUACAAAAGACCUCGUGGUUUGGGAUUUGUGAUACAGCAGAACUGGCCUCUGUCCCUUGCUCCAAGCUCCUCAGUGCUUAUGCAUCAAUGUUUACCCACCAUUUUUCACACAUUCUGACCAGACUGGUUUAUUCACCUAACUGUCCAACCUAUAAUGCCUUCAGCAACUGUUACUGUAUUCUUGGUCAUUGAGAAAAACAAAAGUAGCCUAAGAGAACCCACUCCUAGCCUUGUGAUGCACGUGCACAGUUGUCAUCAGGACAUGUGUGUGUCAUCAUAGCUAAACAGGGUCUCAUGGGUGUGCAUGGCCAGAAAGGUUUCUGUUGUCUGUUCUCUAAAAAAUGUUCUGGUGCAUAACCGUAAUUCCUGUACUUGGGAGAUGGCAGCAGAAGGAUCAGGGUUCAAGGCCACCCUUGGCUACAUAGUUAGCUCAAAGCCAGACUCACUUAUAAGUGAGUUUGAAGCCAACCUAAGCUGUAUGACAACCUGUUUUUAA